GGAAUAGCACAGCAGUAGAGCAUAUGCUUAGUAUGCACAAGACCCUGGGUUCAAUCCCCAGUACCUCCA
rnacentral:tRNA from 1 species